CCUACGGGUGGCAGCAGUGGGGAAUAUUGGACAAUGGGGGAAACCCUGAACCAGCGACGCCGCGUGAGGGAAGAAGUAUUUCGGUAGGUAAAGCUCUAUCAGCAGGAAAGAAAAUGACGGUAGCUGACUAAGAAGCCACGGCUAACUACGUGCCAGCAGCCGCGGUAAUACGUAGGGGGCAAGCGUUAUCCGGAUUUACUGGGUGUAAAGGGAGCGUAGCCGGCAGGGCAAGUCUGGAGUGAAAUGCCGGGGCCCACCCCCGGAACUGCCCUGGAACCUGUGAAGCUGGAAUGCAGGAGAGGUAAGAGGAAUUCGUGGUGUAGCGGUGAAAUGCGUAGAUAUCAGGAGGAACACCGGCGGCGAAGGCAGCUUAC
rnacentral:rRNA from 1 species